AUAGAGCUAAACAACACAAAAGGUAAUCAAGAACACAAACAUUCUCUAAUUAAAAGAUGAGAAAAAAAACAAGAGGGGGGUAACAUUCAGACCUUUCAUUGGAGAACAAAGUCGAAAAUGGCAACUCGACGGGCUAAACAGCAAGGCCACCGGAUUGAAAAAACUGAAGCUAUAAAUUAGAACUUCGGCAUAAAAGCCUCACCGGAAGCUUCGAACGGAUCUCACGCAACUCAGCCUCAAUCGGACUCCAUUGUUGAAACCAAAAUCGAAGAGAAGCAGAACUGAAAUCUCUUUUUUUUUUUUGUAUUACUGAUUUUUAGAAAUGAAAAAUAAUACUUGUAUCAAAACUAACUUCAAAUUGUUUUCAUUCUUUCGCCCCCCAAAUUCUAUCUUGUUCCCUCUCCUUUCUCUUAUUCCCGUCCCUAUUUCUGCUCUGUGUGUCUUGCACAUUUUUGUGCUGCUGGUGGUUAAGGGUGGUCGUUUGAGUGAAGAAGAAGGUGAAGAUGGGUGGAGAAGAAGCAGGGUUUUGCGUCUCUGUGUGUGGUCUCCGGUUUCAGGCAUUCAUGUUGGUCGUUUAGGGUGGUAUUGACUGUGAGGGUGCAAGGUCGGUUCUUCUACUUGGCCACUGCUCUUGUACGGUCGGUUCCAAGGUCUAGGGUUCAGCUUUGUGUUUUGUUGUUGUUGAAGGUUGAAGAAGAUACGACAACCAUGGAUGGUCUUCUAGGGUACGGUCGGUUCCAAGGUCUAGGGUUAAGCUUUGUGUUUUGUUGUUGUUGAAGGUUGAAGAAGAUACGGCAACCAUGGAUGGUGUUCU
rnacentral:lncRNA from 1 species